rnacentral:lncRNA from 1 species
CUAAGCCCAAUUACACCAACCCCGGUCUGCCCCAUCCACUUACUCAAAAUGACGGUGUUUUGUCGUCAAGCCAUCACAGCCGUUCAUUGCUCUUGAUCCAGCGGUCGAGGGCCACUCUUGCAAAAAUAAUAAGAGUGUCAGUCGUUUUAAUUAAUUCAAAAAGACAAGAAGCAUCUUCCUCGUAUCUUCUCCUCCUUGCCGGAACCCUCGCCGGCGGCAAAUGCAACCCACUACAAAGACCAUCGGAAAAACACCACUGAUACCCAUUCCUCUCCUCUUUCCAACCCACACACUGUCAUCUCUCGAAUCUUCCCCCAAGACCUUGAAUAUCCAUUUAAAAUUUUCUGGCAAAAAUGCAAAGUAUGCCAAACACCACAAAAAUAACACCCCAUGACCGCCUGAACCUCCUCUACCCAACCCCCAUUUAUGUUUGGUUUUGGUUGAGUUUAUUGUUAUGUUUAGUUGUCGUCCUGCUCGUAAUUGUCCUUUCCUUUUCUUUGUUGAUUAGAAUAGUUUAAUCGUGUUUUGGGGUUUUGAUUAAUCUGAUGUUUGAUUUUAGUUCUUGGCAAUAGCUUUUAGCUUUUGUUUUGUUAAUGAAAGUUGUUAGGUUAGUCUGUUAAUCAGGAAAAUGGAAAUUAAGGUUGUAACGACACGGUUAGUUUUGGGAAGGGGUAAGGAUAGGAUAGGGAUAUACCUUAGGGAAUCUAGAAGAAAUUCCUAAAAUUCUCGAGGUGGGGUAUUAAAUGACAAGUCAAGAAAUGAGAGGGAGUAAAAAAAAUAAUUUAGGGGAGGGGCUAAAUAGAAAUAAAAAUUGAUGGUUUGCCUAUAAAUAGGCAUUCAUUUACCUUGUUGGGGGGAGGGGGACUGCUGGAGAAGAAAAAUCACUGUUUCAUAGCCAUUGCUAGUUUUAAAAUACUCCUUCCAUUCUGAAAUUUAGAUCUGCAACAAGCCUCGAAAUCAAAAACAAAAAAAAAGGAGAAAACAAAGACAAUUUCAAAAUUGUAUUUUUCCAUUGAUUUGUUUUUGUAAAACUCAAGGUUUAGGUCUAUUGGACUUGUUGACUAGUUGUUCUAUUGCUGAAGGUAUUCUAGGUCGCCUGGGUUUAAUUGUGAGUAUAUUGGGUUGGAUUUAAGUGUUUUCGUUAUUCUGUCAUCUUCUGAAAUCUUCAUGGGCUGUCAAAUGCAUUUCUGAGCUAAACCUGGGCUGAUUGGUGGUGCGUGAGUUUCAAUUGUUGGUUGUUGUGAGUUGUUGCCUAUUCUUCUGUUGCUAAUAUCUCUUCCUGUUCAUUAUAUUUCCAGGUAUAUCUCCCAAUCUCCUAUGAAUUGUGAAGGAACCUUGUAAAUGUCAUGUUGAAGAAUUAAAACUGAGGAAUAGAGUGGAAUUUGCUCUUGAAGUUUUUAUGUUGUGUUUUCAUUUCAUAUAUGUGGGACAUUUUGCUUGGUGGAUGACUUGUAUAAUUUGGACUCACAGUUGGUCAAAUCUGUUAAUUAGAUUAUUGCUUAGCAUCAUUAUAAGGUAAUUUGUUAAUCAGUUUAAGCUGAAAGUAAGGUUUGUAUUGAUCAAUUGAUUAUUGGCUUUCAACUUUCGAUUAGUUAGAUUGAUUCCAUUGAUAUCCUUUUAAUUGAUCGCCUAAGUAUGUGUUUAAAUGUGUUAUUCUCAAUAUUAAUAUUAGAACUUAAGUAUUAUAAGUUGCAGAAUAUGAAUUUACCACUUGAAAAUCCAUGCUUGUUGAAACAAAGGUAAUUUUUGGAUUAAGAGAGUUUCGAUCGCCUAUACAAGUUGUUAGUCGUUCCCUGAUCAAUUUUUCGGUGUUUGUUCCUAAUAUUCUCAUGUCAAAAUAGUCUUCAGUAUUUUAUUUCUUAUUGCUUUGUUGAAAUUUGAUGGGAGUUUGGGCUCACAUGAAGUGGACGUGAAAGGUUGGGCCAACGGUUGGCAUUAAGGCCCAAGGCCUUUGCAUUCAGGGACAAGGACAAACAAAUAACCUUAAGCCUUGUCCCUAACUCGAUCCUAGGUAUAGUAGCUUUUUCUAUCUGAGCCUUCUUUGACCUAUGUCAGGCUGUGUCGAAUGGUCCGUUUCUGAAGCCCACCAGGUGGUCCAACUCGUUGUUUGAGUUUGGACUACUGAAUUUUAAUUCGUAAAUUUCACUUGGUAAUUCAAGUCACGUGUAAUUGGUUUUUUCUUCUUUUAGAGACAUGUGAUUAAUAGAAAAUUGUAGUCACUCCUAAGUUUGCCUUUUAAUAAAUGAUGAGACGGCUUCGCAAAAUAAAUAAAUAAAUGGCGGGGCCCUCAAUUAUUGUUUACCAAAAUACUUAAAUUUGGGAGGGCCGCUUAGC